AGUGAACGCUGGCGGUAUGCCUAACACAUGCAAGUCGAACGGCAGCACAGUAAUAGCUUGCUCUUACGGUGGGCGAGUGGCGGACGGGAGAGGAAUACAUCGGAAUCUACUUUUGCGUGGGGGAUAACGUAUGGAAACUUACGCUAAUACCGCAUACGACCUACGGGUUAAAGCAAGGGAUCUUCGGACGUUGCACGAUUGAAUGAGCCGAUGUCGGAUUAGCUAGGUGGCGGGGUAAAGGCCCACCAAGGCGACGAUCCGUAGCUGGUCUGAGAGGAUGAUGAGGCACAGUGGGACUGAGACACGGUCCAGACUCUUACGGGAGGCAGAGGUGGGGAAUAUUGGAAGCUGGGGGCAAGCCUGAUCCAGCCACACCGGCUGGGUGCAGAAGGCCUUCGGGUUGUAAAGCCCUCUUGUUGGGAAAGAAAAGCAGCAGGUUAAUACACCGCUAUUCUGACGGUACCCAAAGAAUAAGCACCGGCUAACUUCGUG
rnacentral:rRNA from 1 species